UAUCCUUCUCCCAAAAUUGCCCCCAAUUCAUUCACUCGCCAAGGAAUUAUAUGUAUCAUCACUACAAAGAAAUCAACCAGCUGAACAGGGGAGAUGCAAAACGUCAGUGCAAUUACUAAUACAAUCAAGAUUGAAAUCAAUUCUUCCCCACCAAACUUAAAUCAAUUACUGAUAUCACACCAAAAGCCUACGAUUUCGAUCCAUAAAUCCGAUCAAUUCUCCCUCUCCAGCACUUGGACCAGCCAACCGAUUAUCUCUUCUGGAAGUAACAGACUUCCUCUAAUAAAAAAAGAUGUAAGAUUUUCAUUAAUUCUUAAUCGAUUACUCGUCUUCCCGUUGUAUUUUUUACUAUGUAGGGUUUGGUAAAUGUUUGAUCUCGGAAGAAAACCCUAAUGGUGGAAGCUGUGAAGCAACCGGGUGUGUUGUGUUAGUAUAAAGAUAUCACGCAGUUUCAGGGGGUGUUUGGAUGCACUAUUAAAUCGAUAAUAGUUGUUUGGAGUUGCAAUUAUCAGUCUUGAGUAUGACCAUCGAGAGAAAUGUUGACAAGAGCGACAGUCGUUUUGAAGUUCUCCUGGUCCAGCAAGAUGGUGUCGUUUCGGUUUGGCUGAUAAGAUGCAUCUUCUUAUUGCCGAUGAUGCGAUGUAUAGAUACAUGCUUUUGUUACAGUAUGCAAGCCAGAGUGCGAUUUAUUUGGGAGCUGUUGCGAGAAUGAUAGGUUAUGCUGUUAGUGAAGCCUCUGCGCUUUUGUUUUGGCAACAUGUGUUUGAACUCUUUUCACUUUUGUUUUACAUAUUCGCCUGCGUUAAUUUUGAUCUGUAUAAAAUGUUUGUUGGAGAUUCUGCGUUCAGCUAGCUUGCAAAAAAAAAAAGAAAUAAAUAAAUAACUGUCAGUUUGUCUUGUUCUCUACCAAAAUCACUUAGUUUUGACAAUGAAGAGUGGAGAGCGAGCUGCAAAUAUCGCACUAGCAGGUCUUACGCUAGCACCAUUAGUUAUGAAGGUUGACCCAAAUCUAAAUGUCAUUUUGACUGCAUGCCUCACAGUUUUUGUGGGUUGUCACCAUUCUGUCAAGCCGACACCUCCU